rnacentral:rRNA from 1 species
AACGAACGCUGGCGGCAUGCCUAACACAUGCAAGUCGAACGAGACCUUCGGGUCUAGUGGCGCACGGGUGCGUAACGCGUGGGAACCUGCCCUUAGGUUCGGAAUAACUCCCCGAAAGGGGUGCUAAUACCGGAUAAUGUCUUCGGACCAAAGAUUUAUCGCCUUUGGAUGGGCCCGCGUUGGAUUAGCUAGUUGGUAGGGUAAAAGCCUACCAAGGCGACGAUCCAUAGCUGGUCUGAGAGGAUGAUCAGCCACACUGGGACUGAGACACGGCCCAGACUCCUACGGGAGGCAGCAGUGGGGAAUAUUGGAAAAUGGGCGAAAGCCUGAUCAAGCAAUGCCGGGUGAGUGAUGAAGGCCUUAGGGUUGUAAAGCUCUUUUACCCGGGAUAAUAAUGACAGUACCGGGAGAAUAAGCUCCGGCUAACUCCGUG